rnacentral:hammerhead_ribozyme from 1 species
AUCUAGCUGACGAGUCCGAAAUAGGACAAGACCUGCGUUUUAGAU